CCAAGACAGCACAUGUACGUCUGGCCGAUAUCGAAAGGUCGGCAACAUCGGCCAGGCGGAGGCCGAUAUAAUUCGGUCAGUGCUCUGUUCUCCAGCUCAUCAAUCGUCGGCCCUGAGUUGGUUCACAACCAAGGUCCGAUGCCGCGCUUCUGUGUGCGCGUGCCCAGUUAUUCAUCUCUUUUAUUUUAGCCACCCAGAGAGAGAUAAGAGACUCAUCUCAGCGACAUCUGUGGCUUUCAGGCUACCAGAAAGAAUCCGUCUCUAUACAGUGAGCUAUUGUUGCUGUUGCUUUCUGAGCUACAAAAUGAGUUUUAAAUUCAUCAUUGAGGGAUUAUUAAAUGAGACUGUACAUUAUAAAUGUAAUGUUUUAACUCUAACUCUAGAUGUUUGUUUGUGUAAAUGCUGUGUGUGCGUUGAGUCCUGCGCGAGCGGGGAGCAGAGUUGCCAUGGAAACAGGGCGUCAACACAAAAACCGUUACUGGCAAGCAGUAAUCUCCAUCUUUCGUUGCGGUUUACACUGUUUUAGGAGGACAGAAAGAAACUACAGAACAGAAGUGAAGCUCCAAGA